UGGGGAAUAUUGGACAAUGGGCGAAAGCCUGAUCCAGCCAUGCCGCGUGUGUGAAGAAGGUCUUCGGAUUGUAAAGCACUUUAAGUUGGGAGGAAGGGCAGUAAGCGAAUACCUUGCUGUUUUGACGUUACCGACAGAAUAAGCACCGGCUAACUCUGUGCCAGCAGCCGCGGUAAUACAGAGGGUGCAAGCGUUAAUCGGAAUUACUGGGCGUAAAGCGCGCGUAGGUGGUUCGUUAAGUUGAAUGUGAAAGCUCCGGGCUCAACCUGGGAACUGCAUCCACAACUGGCGAGCUAGAGUAGGGGAGAGGGUGGUGGAAUUUCCUGUGUAGCGGUGAAAUGCGUAGAUAUAGGAAGGAACACAAGUGGCGAAGGCGACCACCUGGGCUCAAACUGACACUGAGGUGCGAAAGCGUGGGGAGCAAACAGG
rnacentral:rRNA from 1 species